UACGAAGGGGGCUAGCGUUGCUCGGAAUCACUGGGCGUAAAGCGCACGUAGGCGGCUUUCUAAGUCAGGGGUGAAAUCCUGGAGCUCAACUCCAGAACUGCUUUUGAUACUGGAGAGCUUGAGUCCGGGAGAGGUGAGUGGAACUCCGAGUGUAGAGGUGAAAUUCGUAGAUAUUCGGAAGAACACCAGUGGCGAAGGCGGCUCACUGGCCCGGUACUGACGCUGAGGUGCGAAAGCGUGGGGAGCAAACAGG
rnacentral:rRNA from 1 species